GCAAGGGCACUCUAAUGAGACUGCCGGUGACAAACCGGAGGAAGGUGGGGAUGACGUCAAGUCCUCAUGGCCCUUAUGGGUAGGGCUUCACACGUCAUACAAUGGUCGGUACAGAGGGCUGCCAACCCGCGAGGGGGAGCUAAUCCCAGAAAGCCGAUCGUAGUCCGGAUUGUAGUCUGCAACUCGACUGCAUGAAGCCGGAAUCGCUAGUAAUCGCGGAUCAGCAUGUCGCGGUGAAUACGUUCCCGGGUCUUGUACACACCGCCCGUCACACCAUGGGAGUGGGUUCCACCAGAAGUAGUUAGCCUAACCGCAAGGAGGGCGAUUACCACGGUGAGAUUCAUGACUGGGGUGAAGUCGUAACAAGGUAGCCGUAUCGGAAGGUGCGGCUGGAUCACCUCCUUU
rnacentral:rRNA from 1 species